AUUGAACGCUGGCGGGAUCUUACAUGCAAGUCGAACGGCAGCACGGACUUCGGUCUGGUGGCGAGUGGCGAACAGGUGAGUAUUAUCGGAACGUGCCUAGUAGCGGGGGAUAACUACGCGAAAAUGACCUAAUGCCACAUACUACGCCCUUCGGGGAAAGCGGGGGACCUUCGGGCCUCGCACUAUUAAACAGCCGAUAUCGAGUUAGCUAGUUGGUGGAGUAACGGCUCACCAAAGGCGACGAUCCGUAGCUGGUUUAGAGGACGACCAACCACACUGGGACUGAGACACGGCCAGACUCCUGCGGGAGGCGGCAGUGGGGAAUUUUGGACAAUGGAAACCCUGAUCCAGCCAUCCCGCGUGUGCGAUGAAGGCCUUCCGGGUUGUAGCUUUUGGCAGGAAAAGCGGCACAGGAUGUGCCCCGUGCAGCUGACAGUACCUGCAGAAUAAGCACCGGCUAACUACGUGCCAGCAGCCGCGGUAAUACGUAAAGUGCAAGCGUUAAUCGAGAUUUUCGGGCGUAAAGCGUGCGCAGUAGUUCCCGGAAAAGAAAGAUGUGAAAUCCCAGAGCUUAACUUUGAACUGCGUUGCCAACUGCGAGCUAGAGUGUACUCAGAGGGAGGUGGAAUUCCGCGUGUAGCAGUGAAAUGCGUAGAUAUGCGGAGGAACACCGAUAGCGAAGAGCAGCCUCCUGGGAUAACACUGACGCUCAUGCACGAAAACAUGAAUAAACAGGAUUAGAUACCCUGGUAGUCCACGCCUAAACGAUGUCAACUAGCUAUUUGGGGCCUUCGAGGCCUUGGUAAGCACAGCUAACGCACAGUAAAUUGACCGCCUGGGGGAGUACGGUCGCAAGUUAAAACUCAAAGGAAUUGACGGGGACCCGCACUAGGCGGUGGAUGAUGUGGAUUAAUUCGAUGCAACGCGAAAAGCCUUACUACCCUUGACAUGUCUGGAAUCCCGAAGAGAGAUUUGGGGUGCUCGCAAGAGAACCGGAACACAGGUGCUGCGCCUGGCUGUGGAAAUCAGCUCGUGUCGUGAGAUGUUGGGUUAAGUCCCGCAACGAGCGCAACCCUUCAUCAUUGAUUGCUACGAAAGGGCACUCUAAUGGGGACUGCCGGUGAUGGCCGGAGGAAGGUGAGGAUGACGUCAAGUCCUCAUGGCCCUUAUGGGUAGGGCUUCACACGUCAUACAAUGGUCGGGACAGAGGGUCGCCAACCCGCGAGAGGCCAAUCCCAGAAACCCGAUCGUAGUCCGGAUAUGAUCUGCGAAUAGAGCUGCGUGAAGUCGGGAAUCGCUAGUAAUCGCGGAUCAGCAUGUCGCGGUGAAUACGUUCGGAGUCUUGUACACACCGCCCGUCACCAUGGGAGUGGGUUUUACCAGAAGUAAGUUAGCCUAACCGUAAAGGAGGCGAUUACCACAGUAGGAUUCAUGACUGAGGGUGAAGUGUAAUAAAAUCG
rnacentral:rRNA from 1 species